UACGAAGGGGGCUAGCGUUGUUCGGAAUUACUGGGCGUGAAGCGCGCGCAGGCGGUCUUCCAAGUCAGUGGUGAAAGCCCGGAGCUCAACUCCGGAAUUGCCAUUGAAACUGUUAGACUUGAGGAUGAGAGAGGUGAGUGGAAUUCCCAGUGUAGAGGUGAAAUUCGUAGAUAUUGGGAAGAACACCGGUGGCGAAGGCGGCUCACUGGCUCAUUACUGACGCUCAGGCGCGAUAGCGUGGGGAUCAAACAGG
rnacentral:rRNA from 1 species